UAUAACAUAAAUACCACUCCAUUUUGGCUUCUGAUGCAUCAAGAGACAAGGGGUGCCCAAACAAUCCAUGAUCAGAAAGAGCUUCAGAAGUGCUCUCAUCUGACAAUCUCAGACAUCAUGAUCGAAUGUCUGAGAACAACGGAAGACCAUCCAAGAUUGCCUCGCCAUUUAGAAAUAGCCAUGAGAGGAGGGAGUGGAGGUGAUGGAGGAGGAGGAGGAGGCAGGCAAGGUGCCGUCCUUGUCUUCCCCAAGCUAAAGUAAGGAAUCAAACAAGAACCCAAACAAAAGAAGAUCAGAACAAAAAAACAAAUGUUUAAAUAUAUAUAUAUAAUAAACAACCUCACAUGGCUCCGGUAAGGGGUCACCAAAUGGGCGAAAGACUCUUACUGCUGUCUGGAAACCAACGACGCCAUUAUCCAUACAGCAUUUCUUGGUGGCGGAAAUUGAAGAGGAAAUCGAAUGUCUGAGAACAACAGAAGACCAUCCAAUAUUGCCUCGCCAUUUGGAAAUAGCCAUGAGAGGAGCGAGUGGAGGUGAUGGAGGAGGAGGAGGCAGGCAAGGUGCCGUCCUUGUCUUCCCCAAG
rnacentral:lncRNA from 1 species